rnacentral:rRNA from 1 species
AGCGAACGCUGGCGGCAGGCCUAACACAUGCAAGUCGAACGAACCUUUCGGGGUUAGUGGCGGACGGGUGAGUAACACGUGGGAACGUGCCUUUAGGUUCGGAAUAACUCAGGGAAACUUGUGCUAAUACCGAAUGUGCCCUUCGGGGGAAAGAUUUAUCGCCUUUAGAGCGGCCCGCGUCUGAUUAGCUAGUAGGUUGAGGUAAUGGCUCACCAAGGCGACGAUCAGUAGCUGGUCUGAGAGGAUGAUCAGCCACAUUGGGACUGAGACACGGCCCAAACUCGUGGGGGAGGCGCCAGGGGGAUACCGCGCGGAGGGGACGACGGCCGUCCGCGGCCGCGCGGCGUGAAGUAUGAACCUCUUAGUUAUGUAUAUGUCUCUCACCGUGUACGUCAACGCCGGUACCCGGAGACGCACCCCCCGCCCCCUGCGGCCCACACGCCGGGCUUACCCGCGGAACCGCCCCCGCCCCAUC